GGUGGCCUACAAAAGCCCAGGGAGACAUAAAGCAUAAAGACUGCCUUGUUGACUCACCACAUCAGACUUUGGUGUCAUGUGAAGAGAACCAGUAGGGAUACGCUAGGGAAAUACCCAGAGUCAUUGUCUCAGGGUGUUAGAGAAUACCCAGAGUGGUUGUCUCAGGGUGUUAGAGAAUACCCAGAGUGGUUGUCUCAGGGGUGUUAGAGAAUACCCAGAGUGGUUGUCUCAGGGUGUUAGAGAAUACCCAGAGUAGUUGUCUCAGGGUGUUAGAGAAUACCCAGAGUGGUUGUCUCAGGGUGUUGGAGAAUACCCAGAGUGGUUCUCUCAGGGUGUUAGAGAAUACCCAGAGUGGUUGUCUCGGUGUGUUGGAGAAUACCCAGAGUGGUUGUUUCAGGGUGUUAGAGAAUACCCAGAGUGGUUGUCUCAGGGUGUUGGAAAAUACCCAGAGGGGUUGUUUCAGGGUGUUAGAGAAUACCCAGAGUGGUUGUCUCAGGGUGUUAGAGAAUACCCAGAGAGGUUGUCUCAGGGUGUUAGAGAAUACCCAGAGUGGUUGUCUCCGGGUGUUAGAGAAUACCCAAAGUGGUGGUCUCAGGGUGUUAGAGAAUACCCAGAGUGGUUGUCUCAGGGUGUUAGAGAAUACCCAGAGUGGUUGUCUCAGGGUGUUAGAGAAUACCCAGAGUGGUUGUCUCAGGGUGUUAGAGAAUACCCAGAGUGGUUGUCUCAGGGUGUUAGAGAAUACCCAGAGUCAUUGUCUCAGGGUGUUAGAGAAUACCCAGAGUGGUUGUCUCAGGGUGUUAGAGAAUACCCAGAGUGGUUGUCUCAGGGUGUUAGAGAAUACCCAGAGAGGUUGUCUCAGGGUGUUAGAGAAUACCCAGAGUGGUUGUCUCCGGGUGUUAGAGAAUACCCAAAGUGGUGGUCUCAGGGUGUUAGAGAAUACCCAGAGUGGUUGUCUCAGGGUGUUAGAGAAUACCCAGAGUGGUUGUCUCCGGGUGUUAGAGAAUACCCAAAGUGGUGGUCUCAGGGUGUUAGAGAAUACCCAGAGUGGUUGUCUCAGGGUGUUAGAGAAUACCCAGAGUGGUUGUCUCAGGGUGUUAGAGAAUACCCAGAGUCAUUGUCUCAGGGUGUUAGAGAAUACCCAGAGUGGUUGUCUCAGGGUGUUAGAGAAUACCCAGAGUGGUUGUCUCAGGGUGUUACAGAAUACCCAGAGUGGUUGUCUCAUGGUGUUAGAGAAUACCCAGAGUGGUUGUCUCAGGGUGUUAGAGAAUACCCAGAGUGGUUGUCUCAGGGUGUUGGAGAAUACCCAGAGUGGUUGUCUCAGGGUGUUAGAGAAUACCCAGAGUGGUAGUGUUGACCUUUAGAGGGCAGAUUGGUUGACCUUUAAGGGGCAGUAGUGUUGACCUUUAAGGGGCAGUAGUGUUGAACUUUAAGGGGCAGUAGUGUUGACCUUUAAGGGGCAGUAGUGUUGACCUUUAAGGGGCAGUAGUGUUGACCUUUAAAGGGCAGUAAGUGU
rnacentral:lncRNA from 1 species